UUGGCCUGGUAUUUUGACUUUUCUUACGAUCUUCUUUAUUGCAUGUAAAAAUCUUUUCAAGGUUCAUUAAAUCUUAGUUAUUACGUUGAGUUUUCCCAUUUAAUCUUCUCUCGUCUUUGUUGAUUUUGCACAUAGUUACUAUUAGGGUUGGUUGGUAGUCUUUCUUUUUAUUUUUUUCUUCUUUUCUUUUUUGUCUUCUCUUCGACUGGUUAAUUGGGUUUUUCUGUUUUGAUCUCUUUAACUUAUUUUUUUCUCUAAGAACUGCUUGCUUUCUCUCUGCCGGUUUGUUCCGUGGCUUUCAUUGUAGGUGGCUUCUUUUCUUUCUCUGUUUUAACAUUUAUUUUUCCUAUUUUGUUUAACUAUUUUUUCUUUGUUUCUUUAGGGUUUCCUACCCGUUUUUUCUCUUAUUUUGCGAGACGAUCUUUUUUAUCAUUUUAUUCUUAUGUCAUUCAUAUUGACUGGUUUCUAUUGAUUUUGUUCUCAUUUAUCUUUUUUUUCUUCUUACUUUAUUUUC
rnacentral:lncRNA from 1 species